rnacentral:lncRNA from 1 species
CAUCUGCCCCCUCCUAGCAGCUCUAGCAGGACAGCUCUGGGCUCGGGGAAAUCCACCUCGGACCUGACUGAGCUUGGGCUCCAUGGAACUCUGGUGAUCCC